GACGAACGCUGGCGGCGUGCCUAAUACAUGCAAGUAGAACGCUGAAGGAGGAGCUUGCUUCUCUGGAUGAGUUGCGAACGGGUGAGUAACGCGUAGGUAACCUGCCUGGUAGCGGGGGAUAACUAUUGGAAACGAUAGCUAAUACCGCAUAACAGUAGAUGUUGCAUGACAUUUGCUUAAAAGGUGCAAUUGCAUCACUACCAGAUGGACCUGCGUUGUAUUAGCUAGUUGGUGGGGUAACGGCUCACCAAGGCGACGAUACAUAGCCGACCUGAGAGGGUGAUCGGCCACACUGGGACUGAGACACGGCCCAGACUCCUACGGGAGGCAGCAGUAGGGAAUCUUCGGCAAUGGACGGAAGUCUGACCGAGCAACGCCGCGUGAGUGAAGAAGGUUUUCGGAUCGUAAAGCUCUGUUGUAAGAGAAGAACGGGUGUGAGAGUGGAAAGUUCACACU
rnacentral:rRNA from 1 species